AUCAAAAUCAGUCAUUUAUUCACACUUAAGUUAAAUGGCACAAACAUAAUUCCAUGAACGUUACACCAGUUCAGACAAACCUCCAGACAGUCGACACAACAAGCUCUAUCACAACUAGGCCUUGGUUAGCUUCCCGGGAAGGCUUCAUUACAAAAGUCAAGUAUUAUGAAAGACAUGCUCUAGCCCAGGGCUCUCCAACCCUGUUCCUGGAGAACUACCAUCCUAUAGGUUCACUCCAACCCUGUUCCUGGAGAACUACCAUCCUAUAGGUUCACUCCAACCCUGUUCCUGGAGAACUACCAUCCUAUAGGUUCACUCCAACUCUGUUCCUGGAGAACUACCAUCCUAUAGGUUCACUCCAACCCUGUUCCUGGAGAACUACCAUCCUAUAGGUUCACUCCAACCCUGUUCCUGGAGAACUACCAUCCUAUAGGUUCACUCCAACUCUGUUCCUGGAGAACUACCAUCCUAUAGGUCCUCACUCCAACUCUGUUCCUGGAGAACUACCAUCCUAUAGGUUCACUCCAACCCUGUUCCUGGAGAACUACCAUCCUAUAGGUUCACUCCAACCCUGUUCCUGGAGAACUACCAUCCUAUAGGUUCACUCCAACCCUGUUCCUGGAGAACUACCAUCCUAUAGGUUCACUCCAACCCUGUUCCUGGAGAACUACCAUCCUAUAGGUUCACUCCAACCCUGUUCCUGGAGAACUACCAUCCUAUAGGUUCACUCCAACUCUGUUCCUGGAGAACUACCAUCCUAUAGGUUCACUCCAACCCUGUUCCUGGAGAACUACCAUCCUAUAGGUUCACUCCAACUCUGUUCCUGGAGAACUACCAUCCUAUAGGUUCACUCCAACCCUGUUCCUGGAGAACUACCAUCCUAUAGGUUCACUCCAACCCUGUUCCUGGAGAACUACCAUCCAUCCUACCCUGUUCCUGGAGAGCUACUGUGCUGUAGGUCCUCUCUCCAACCCUGUUCCUGGAGAGCUACUGUGCUGUAGGUCCUCUCUCCAACCCUGUUCCUGGAGAGCUACUGUGCUGUAGGUCCUCUCUCCAACCCUGUUCCUGGAGAGCUACUGUGCUGUAGGUCCUCUCUCCAACCCUGUUCCUGGAGAGCUACUGUGCUGUAGGUCCUCUCUCCAACCCUGUUCCUGGAGAGCUACUGUGCUGUAGGUCCUCUCUCCAACCCUGUUCCUGGAGAGCUACUGUGCUGUAGGUCCUCUCUCCAACCCUGUUCCUGGAGAGCUACUGUGCUGUAGGUCCUCUCUCCAACCCUGUUCCUGGAGAGCUACUGUGCUGUAGGUCCUCUCUCCAACCCUGUUCCUGGAGAGCUACUGUGCUGUAGGUCCUCUCUCCAACACUAUUCCUGGAGAGCUACUGUGCUGUAGGUCCUCUCUCCAACACUAUUCCUGGAGAGCUACUGUGCUGUAGGUCCUCUCUCCAACCCUGUUCCUAGAGAGCUACUGUGCUGUAGGUCCUCUCUCCAACACUAUUCCUGGAGAGCUACUGUGCUGUAGGUCCUCUCUCCAACACUAUUCCUGGAGAGCUACUGUGCUGUAGGUCCUCUCUCCAACACUAUUCCUGGAGAGCUACUGUGCUGUAGGUCCUCUCUCCAACACUAUUCCUGGAGAGCUACUGUGCUGUAGGUCCUCUCUCCAACCCUGUUCCUAGAGAGCUACUGUGCUGUAGGUCCUCUCUCCAACACUAUUCCUGGAGAGCUACUGUGCUGUAGGUCCUCUCUCCAACACUAUUCCUGGAGAGCUACUGUGCUGUAGGUCCUCUCUCCAACACUAUUCCUGGAGAGCUACUGUGCUGUAGGUCCUCUCUCCAACACUAUUCCUGGAGAGAUACUGUGCUGUAGGUCCUCUCUCCAACACUAUUCCUGGAGAGCUACUGUGCUGUAGGUCCUCUCUCCAACCCUGUUCCUAGAGAGCUACUGUGCUGUAGGUCCUCUCUCCAACACUAUUCCUGGAGAGCUACUGUGCUGUAGGUCCUCUCUCCAACACUAUUCCUGGAGAGCUACUGUGCUGUAGGUCCUCUCUCCAACACUAUUCCUGGAGAGCUACUGUGCUGUAGGUCCUCUCUCCAACACUAUUCCUGGAGAGAUACUGUGCUGUAGGUCCUCUCUCCAACACUAAUCUAGCACACCUGAUUCUAAUAAUUAGCUGGUUGAUAAGCUGAAUCAGGUUAGUUACAACUGUGGUUGGAGCGAAACCCUACAGGAUACUAGUUCUCCAGGAACAGGGUAGCCUAAUUGCAAGACCUAUGCUAAAUAGUCAGACAACAAAUGAUGUGAU